rnacentral:rRNA from 1 species
UUACCGGGACCGACAGCAAUAUGAAGGCCAGGCUGAAGACUUUGCCGGAUUAGCUGAGAGGUGGUGCAUGGCCGUCGUCAGUUCGUACUGUGAAGCAUCCUGUUAAGUCAGGCAACGAGCGAGACCCACGCCCACAGUUGCCAGCGUACUCUCUGGAGUGACGGGUACACUGUGGGACCGCCGCUGCUAAGCGGAGGAAGGAAUGGGCAACGGUAGGUCAGUAUGCCCCGAAUAUCCCGGGCUACACGCGAGCUACAAUGGUUGGUACAAUGGGUAUCUACCCGAAGGGACGGGAAUCUCCUAAAACCAAUCUUAGUUCGGAUUGAGGGCUGCAACUCGCCCUCAUGAAGCUGGAAUCCGUAGUAAUCGCGUUUCAACAGAACGCGGUGAAUACGUCCCUGCUCCUU